UAGGAGUUCUCAAAACCGCAUGAUGAG
rnacentral:sRNA from 1 species